rnacentral:rRNA from 1 species
GACAGAGGGUGCAAACGUUGUUCGGAAUUACUGGGCGUAAAGCGCGUGUAGGCUGCUCCGCAAGUCGGAUGUGAAAGCCCUGGGCUCAACCUAGGAAGUGCACUCGAAACUGCGGAGCUGGAGUCCUGGAGAGGAAGGCGGAAUUCUCGGUGUAGAGGUGAAAUUCGUAGAUAUCGAGAGGAACACCGGUGGCGAAGGCGGCCUUCUGGACAGUGACUGACGCUGAGACGCGAAAGCGUGGGAGCAAACAGG